rnacentral:rRNA from 1 species
ACGCUCGACACCUACGGGGAGGCAGCAGUAGGGAAUCUUCCACAAUGGACGCAAGUCUGAUGGAGCAACGCCGCGUGAGUGAAGAAGGUUUUCGGAUCGUAAAGCUCUGUUGUUGGUGAAGAAGGAUAGAGGUAGUAACUGGCCUUUUAUUUGACGGUAAUCAACCAGAAAGUCACGGCUAACUACGUGCCACAGCCGCGGUAAUCUGAGCGGGCUGCAAGGC